rnacentral:rRNA from 1 species
AGUCAUAUGCUUGUCUCAAAGAUUAAGCCAUGCAUGUCUAAGUAUAAGCAAUUAUACCGUGAAACUGCGAAUGGCUCAUUAAAUCAGUUAUCGUUUAUUUGAUAAUACCUUACUACUUGGAUAACCGUGGUAAUUCUAGAGCUAAUACAUGCUGAAAAUCCCGACUUCGGAAGGGAUGUGUUUAUUAGAUAAAAAACCAAUGCCCUUCGGGGCUUUUUGGUGAUUCAUGAUAACUUUACGGAUCGCAUAGCCCUGCGCUGGCGACGGUUCAUUCAAAUUUCUGCCCUAUCAACUUUCGAUGGUAAGGUAUUGGCUUACCAUGGUUUCAACGGGUAACGGGGAAUUAGGGUUCGAUUCCGGAGAGGGAGCCUGAGAAACGGCUACCACAUCCAAGGAAGGCAGCAGGCGCGCAAAUUACCCAAUCCCGACACGGGGAGGUAGUGACAAUAAAUACUGAUACAGGGCUCUUUUGGGUCUUGUAAUUGGAAUGAGUACAAUUUAAACCUCUUAACGAGGAACAAUUGGAGGGCAAGUCUGGUGCCAGCAGCCGCGGUAAUUCCAGCUCCAAUAGCGUAUAUUAAAGUUGUUGCAGUUAAAAAGCUCGUAGUUGAAACUUGGGCCUGGCUGGCGGGUCCGCCUCACCGCGUGCACUCGUCCGGCCGGGCCUUCCUUCUGAAGAACCUCAUGCCCUUCACUGGGCGUGCUGGGGAAUCAGGACUUUUACUUUGAAAAAAUUAGAGUGUUCAAAGCAGGCCUUUGCUCGAAUACGUUAGCAUGGAAUAAUAAAAUAGGGCGUGCGUUUCUAUUUUGUUGGUUUCUAGAGACGCCGCAAUGAUUAACAGGAACAGUCGGGGGCAUCAGUAUUCAGUUGUCAGAGGUGAAAUUCUUGGAUUUACUGAAGACUAACUACUGCGAAAGCAUUUGCCAAGGAUGUUUUCAUUAAUCAGUGAACGAAAGUUAGGGGAUCGAAGACGAUCAGAUACCGUCGUAGUCUUAACCGUAAACUAUGCCGACUAGGGAUCGGGCGAUGUUCUUUUUCUGACUCGCUCGGCACCUUACGAGAAAUCAAAGUUUUUGGGUUCUGGGGGGAUUAUGGUCGCAAGGCUGAAACUUAAAGAAAUUGACGGAAGGUCACCACCAGGCGUGGAGCCUGCGGCUUAAUUUGACUCAACACGGGGAAACUCACCAGGUCCAGAUGAAAUAAGGAUUGACAGAUUGAGAGCUCUUUCUUGAUUUUUCAGGUGGUGGUGCAUGGCCGUUCUUAGUUCGUGGGGUGACUUGUCUGCUUAAUUGCGAUAACGAGCGAGACCUUACUCUGCUAAAUAGCCAGGCUAACUUUGGUUGGUCGCCGGCUUCUUAGAGAGACUAUCAACUCAAGUUGAUGGAAGUUUGAGGCAAUAACAGGUCUGUGAUGC